UACGUAGGUGGCAAGCGUUGUCCGGAAUUAUUGGGUGUAAAGCGCGCGCAGGCGGCCUCUUAAGUCUGAUGUGAAAGCCCCCGGCUCAACCGGGGGGGGGCCAUUGGAAACUGGGAGGCUUGAGUAUAGGAGAGAAGAGUGGAAUUCCACGUGUAGCGGUGAAAUGCGUAGAGAUGUGGAGGAACACCAGUGGCGAAGGCGACUCUUUGGCCUAUAACUGACGCUGAGGCGCGAAAGCGUGGGGAGCAAACAGG
rnacentral:rRNA from 1 species